UGUAUCAAGAAUUUAAUGUAGCAAUUAAUUGCUUGAUAUAUAUAUUUUCCAUUUUACUUGAGUAAGCAUCAGCAAAAAAAAAAAAAGAAAAAAAAAGAUUUAUCUGUGCUGUUUUUGGAGGGGAAGCCGGGACUUUCCAUUUUGAGCCUGGCCUUCUUUUUCUGCUGCAGAAUUCAAAGCAGGUGCAGACGUGUUUGGGAGCUUUCCUGGAGCCAACCCUGACUGCUAUCCAAUUUUUGCUAGGAAAACCUGGGAACAAGGAGGCUAUUUAAACUUGUCUUGGGAGGAGAAGGAGGGUUUUCUUUUUCUUCAAGGACAGGAGAGAGGAAGGUCAUGGCAUCUGGGGGGUGGGGGUCAGAUCACCUUGGAAUGGGAGAGGAAAUAGGGGUUUGGUUCUCAGGGUGUUUGAUGAAGCACCCCAAGGGGGCAGGUAUGUGGAUGGGGUAACCUGGAGGGUAACCACUGUGGAGAAGAGAAGCAGCAGAGGCCUCCACGGCUGGUCUGGUGGGUGGAGACGACCAUGGUGAAGAGCCAUCCUCUAGCCUUCAGAACUGCACAGUGAACAGCUGACGGAAUUCAUCAGCAGCGCCCUGACCAUGAGAAGCCAGGGAAACAAAGGCCAUCAUUAUUGAUAGGACCAGGUCCUUCCUCGUUUCCUAGAACAUGAGGUCCUGUGGGAUCAGGCACGAGACCCCAAAAUAACAGACAUAGGACAUCUCACCAGCUUCUGCGAGUGGUGUCUUGGAGCCGGGCUUUAAACUAACAAAUAAAUGCAGCAUUUCCUGAGAUUUGGGUGUGGUGGUUACUUUUCAUAUUUCCCUUAAUAUUUUAAAGAAUCCUAGAGAAAAUAUCCCCCCUCUGUUUAUUUCUUGGGGAGUGCCUGGAACAGGCUGCAG
rnacentral:lncRNA from 1 species